CAACUUUGACAGGUCGGGACGCGAAAGUUUGUAGAUGAAGGAGUGAGGGAGUAAUUAUGCGAGGGAGUCUGUGUUGAGUUUUUGUUAUUUUCUCACUAAUUCAUUAUGACGCUCGGGGGGCGGCGCAAGGCAGGGUCCAGCGGGGGGACCUCGUCCGCGGCGCCCCACCUCCCCGCCCUCCUGCCCAGCUCCCAGGGCAUCACCACCGCCAGCGGCAUCACCAGACACACCCUCCAGCAGCUCCUCAUCACCACGGAGGAGGUGCUCGUCGCUCCACAGCCGCGGCGGCGAGGGCGGGGGCGCGGCAGGCUGGGCGGCGCUGGGCUGAAGACACCCUCCUCCGCUGGGCUGUCGAGGCUGGGAAGGACCCCCGCCACACAGGGGGUACGGGAGGGUAGCGGCCGGACCUCCCUCGCUCUCAACCACUCCAUGCGGCCACUCACUAAGCAGAAGAAG